CAAAUAUAUACAUAAUAGUUUUAUUUUGUUCUUCGGAUAUUCUUAAUCUAAACUUUUUUAAAAAUCAUGUUUGAAUUUAAAUUAUUUGAAUUUUAAUUCUCUCUAAUGUUUAGAAGGCUUUAGUUUUCUACUAAAUGAGCCUGGAUAUUUGCUAUUUUUACCUUUCCUUUCAGAAAUGUUCUCUGAAUUACUGUUGUAAUCAAAUUGUGAUUUGUUGUUGGCAAAUUCCUUUUAUAGUAUGAGCUUCUUUCCAGUAAAUGAAAUGCAACUGGAGAAAAUUAAAGUAAUGUUGACAGUUUGCUCAGGUACCAAAUUAAAACUUAGUGGAAAACUAUGAAUGUUCUAGGCUAUGUAAUUUUUCUGGUAGAUGUAUGUAUAUAUAUGAAAACUGUAUAGCUAUUAUUGUAAACAAACAAAAACACCUAUUUAGACACCAAGACAUUUAAACAGUGAGAAUAUGAUCUUCCCUUUUAUUGUUUAAACGGGAAUUGUGUAGACAGAAUUUCAAGGGUGGCUUUAUACUGUUGGGUUAUUUUGUUUAUUUGUUUUUAAAUAUUGGACACACUAAAAGUUCCUUUUGGCGCAGUAAGUGUACUCUGGGUCUGCACAUAUUUACUAAUGUCUCCAUCUUCUUGGCCAUUUGCACCUGUCACCUGGCUUUAGGUUGGGCAAAAAGAACUGGAAUAGUUCUUACUUUUUCUACCUUCUCAAAUCAACAAUGACUUUAUCCCCUUACCUCAUCGAUGGGGGAAGAAGAAUAGAGAUGAUUAAGAAGCAAAUAGAGAUAAGAAUGUGGAUAAAGCUGAUGGUGAAGGGAGUUUCUAAAUUUAUGAGUAUAAGGAAGGAAAAAGACUUUUCCCCAACUCCCCAGGAAAGCCAUCCUACCUAUCCAACACAGCACUGUCUUCUCCCUGUGCCUGUCUAAAGCAGAUCUACCUAAAUUCCUCCUCCACUCCAAGACAGAUUCCAAUGGUACCACCAAAAGAAGAUCAUAGAAGAGAAAGUCAUAACAUCUCACAUUUCUAAUACAUUCACUGCCAGGUUUUCUUCAUACCUUUUGCCUUUUAAGCCUUGGGUUUGGAGUCGUGAGCAGGUUUUCAUAGUUGGUGGACAGAUUUGACUUGUUUUGAUAAGAAGCCUUCCCAACAAAGCAUUUCUAAGGCAUGCCGCAAAACAGCAUUGCGAGUUUAAUUAAAACGGAUGAAGUAUUGACUGAACAAGUUUGUGUGUGUGUGUUUCCUCUCUAAAAAUAAAAUAAAGUCAAAUACUUUUUAUGUAAAGCAAAACAGAAAACAACUCUAAACUUCUAUCAGUCUGAAUGAAUUCACAUUUCUUUUUACAAAAUAGCUUUUCUGAAACCAUUUUUGUACGGUGGUUAGACCAGCACAUUCUACUCUCUCCCCUGCCCACUUGCCGCUUUGCUUUUUAAAUGUUGAAUGAAUGUGAAUAGUUUGUUAGUUAAAAAAAAAAAGCACAUGCUUGUAACAGGCUCAGAAUCUACCUAUGAACGUGAAGAUGUGCUAGGGGUUAUGUACAAUAGUUUCAAUCCUAUCAACUUAGGGUGGAAAUAUGUGAAUAAAAGUUUUAGAAACUUAUUAGAUUUCUAGUAUGUUGAGAGAAACUCUAUGGUGUGGUAAAAAAUAAAUAGAAGCCCUGCCUUGGAGAGCAGGAGGCAUUAAUUAAUGCAAAAAUAGAUUUAAAAUGGUUAAAUCUGGAGGCCCGGUUUCUAGUGCCAACUGACCAAAUUACUGAAUUAAUGAUAAUUUCUCUCUUCCUCAGUUUCCUUGCCUGUAAAAUGAAGGGAAAGAGAUCCUUUUCAGAUUUUCGUUUAUCUUAAAGAAUGUGUGAUUUUAUUUUAAAUAGCUGUAUAUGUAGAUAAUUCUGCUUGCGUUUUCUACCUAUAAAUCACAAAUGUUUGGAGAGAAAUUUAGGUUGGUAAAGAGGGAAGAAUAAAGGAAGUUCAGGUGAUCUGAGAGAGCACACGUAGUUUAAUUUUUUAGUGGUGGUUGUCCUCAGCUUAAGUAGAUGUCAUAAUAUAUUAUUGGGUCUAUUUAAUGAUUCAAUGAAUGCAAUAAACCAAAAAUUGUCAUUUGUCAGACAAAGUGACAUAAUUGCCUAUGCGUGGUUUGAGAAAAGGGCUGCUUUUAACUGAGUGGAGCACAACAUGGUUACUAUGGCUCCAUUCCUCCCUGCUGGCCACUAGAUGGAGAGGCGGUCCAUGUCCACAGCCUUGCCCAUGGUAAACAGCUCACUUCUGACUUUCUGUUGGCAAAGCUGCACUCUAUGAGUUUGGACAUUUCUAUGAACACACACAAGACAUUUUGCAGAAACCAUCAGAGAAUAUAUUCUCUUCUCUACAGGCAUGAAGAGAUAUUCAUGACUGCAGGAUGACCUGCUCCGUCUACGGCCACUGUUAAGGCUGGUAGACCAGCAGAAGAGAAUGACAGGCAGUGACUACCAUUUAUUGAAUCACCCUUUGUGCUGGUAACUGAACUGUGAGGUAAAUAUUAUCUUAUUAUUCUUCACAACAAUCUCAUAAGGCAGAUAUUUACAUUUUAUCAAUGAGGAAUCUAUGGCUACGUUAGAUUAAAUAACUUCCAUAAGGCUACACAUCUAGUUAUGGAGGAGUUAUUCAGAAUCAGUGGUGUAAUAGGCAAAAAAGGAUUGCUGAGACUAAGGUGUAUACUGUUAUGGAUAAUGAAAGGAGUUUCUCACUUUUUUCCAGUAAACAGAGGAAGAUGAGCUUUUUCGAGAAAGAGUGGGAAAGGGGGAGGGAGGAAGGGCAAACGUUUGUGUUUUUGACCGGUAGGAGUGAGUUUGUCAGAGAAUAGAAGGCUGAUGCCUCACUGUGGCCUGUCUUUCCAAAGCCCUAGGUGCUGCUUUUGGUACUGUUGUAGACACAGGCAUCCAGGGCGGCUGAAACACUGCAUUAUGCCUUGCUGGGGCCAGUUGAGGGACCGGAAGCAGUGGUGGCUGCAGGGGAGGUUCUUAGAACUUUUAACUCUAUUUGGAACAGCUUUUAUGGGCAAACUUAUCAGCACAGCUAUUCCAGACUGUCAGAGCCCAGGAAACCUGAUGCUGUGUAUGAGUGCCACAUCAGUUUCACUAUUGAUUUGACCUCAAAGCCCGUGGUCCCAACCAGUGUGCUGUUUUGUAUAACAAUUAUAUCAUUCAAUGUACCUACAGCAACUGCAGAAAAACACCUAUUCCUGCACAGUUUUAAACUCCGAAGUAACCUUCAGCUCUAGCCCAGAGGAAAAUAAAAAUCCAAUUAUAUAAUAUGAUCUUUUACUAUGAAUGGGGAACCCCAAACGUGUGAAACAAUUAGAAAUUCUCCGUUUCUUUUAAUCACAGGAAUAUUCACACCUGUGUGAAUUACAGAGCUAAAAAACACCCCCGACUCUCCGAAGUUCUACUAUAAAGAAGUCUAGUUAUUUGCCUUAGUUUCAAAAGAAAAGUUCCCUAAGUAUUUCAAAAUGUUCGACUGGCUGCCCCAGCUAUUCUCUUUGGAAGCUUCUUUCUCAUCCUCAUGGCACAUCCCUCUGGCAUGCAUGACCAGCUGCAAGCUAAACCCUGUGGAAUAAGAAUUCUUUCAUCCCUUUGUGUGAUGUGUUUCAUUUUCAGAGUUUGGAUGAUCCUCCUCGGCAGCAGCGGCAGGCAUUGUUAGUUUCAAUAGGAGGCCUGGAUGCACAAGAACAGUCAUCCUAGAGAGCCAGGCUCUCGGGGUCCGUUCCUUCGCACCACGGUGCUGUGUUAGAUCACUUUCUCCUGCUGGAUUAAUGACCAGGAAAAAAGGGUAACAAACUAUACCCAAAGGAAUCCAAUUAAAGUACUUGAACUUCACUCACGUCCAUCCUAUCAUUUUCUUAACUUCCUAACAUAGGCUUAAUUAUUCUGACCAGUAGAAAGGAAUAGCAUGAAUAAGAGAGUUAUCUCAAAAUCCUUAUUUUCUUUAGUUUGAAAGGUUCAAAAUCUUGUUGUAUAAGAUGAAAUAAUAAUCUGUGUUUGGUAUGGUUGAACUUUUUUUGGGUUGUUUUUUCUCUCUCUUCUCUAAUAUCUUCACCAAGGUCACUGCCAGGACUGAUUGUAUGAAACUGCUCAGCCCUUACAAUUUUAUCUCUGUUCACAGUCUACACUGCAGCAUUAGUUCAUUCUGGACUCUUCGGCUUCCUUGAAUUCCCAAUUGAUUCCACUCCCAUGACUGUGAUAUUCUUUUCCUAGUUAAUCAAGAAUUCUCUAUUUCUGCUCUGUCAUCCAUGCCACUGUAAGUGGGAAAGUAGUUUAGGCUUUGGCUCUCAGCCUCAUCAUUUCUGAAAUGACCUCCUCUGAUUCUAAAGUUCUGUGUCUAAAAUACAAACUAGGAUUUCCGGUAAUAAAAACUUAUGUGUGUAUGAUGACUGAUAGUUUUCAGUCUUUUCAUAUGUUUUAUUUUAUAUAAUUCUGACCAUGGUUCUGUGAGAUGGGGGAGAACAGGUUUUAUUGUCUCUUGUUUUCAGAGAAGGAUCCUGCAGCUCAGGGAGAUGAAGUGUCUUACCCACGUCCAAUAAUUAGUAACUGGCUGAACCUGAACUUAAAAUUCAGUUUUUCCCACAUUAAGGUGAUGGUUUCUUCUAGUAGGAAGUUUCUUUCCUAUAGCCUAAAUUUCUUCAUUUAUUAACUAUAAGUUUUGGUGUAUGUGAGUGUGUAUGUUCUUGCUCUGGGAAGGGGCUUCCUUAUGCUUAAAUGAGUUUGGGAUGGAAUUUUGUGACUUUAGUUUUUAUCAGUGAAGGAGUCUCCUAGGAUUUCUAAUUAAGAAAGACAAGGAAUGUGCUACCUUUCUAGUAUGAAUUUUGGUGUUAUUGUAAGCCCCUCUAUCAAAUUUGAUUGCAUUUUUCAAUUAUAAAUCUAUUCUGCCAGAAACCUAAUAUACCUAUUAGAUAAUAUUCUUUGUGAUUAAGGAAGAUAAGAAAAUAGUAGGGGCUGGCCCCAUGGCUGAGUGGUUAAGUUCACGCACUCUGCUUCGGCAGCCCAGGGUUUCGCUGGUUUGGAUCCUGGGCACAGACAUGGCACUGCUCAUCAGGCCAUGCUGAGGCAGCGUCCCACAUGCCACAAUUAGAAGGACCCACAAUUAAAAAUACACAACUAUGUACCGGGGGGCUUUGGGGAGAAGAAGAAGAAGAUAAAAGAAGAUUGGCAACAGUUGUUAGGUCAGGUGCCAAUCUUUAAAAAAAGAAAAGAAAAGAAAAGAAUAGAAGCCCUCUUAGCCAAUCCCUUCUUCAGGCCAAUAGGAUACUCUCUGAAAAAUGGUGCACUUCUGUUUAUCUGUUUACCUGCUGGUAUGCUUACCUAGAGUCAUUUGUAUUUGUUUUCAAAUUUGUUUAUGCCCCUUGAAUGUGCAGUUAUAAUUUAAUUAUGCAAACUGAUGAAAUAUGAGUAGAAAGGUAUAAAGGGUUGUUGAUUUUAUGAAGUUUAAGUUGACUGCUUUGUAAAGACUUUUUAAAGUGAAUCACUAAAACCAAUUACGGUCUAAAUACGUGAAGGCUAGACAACUGUAAGAGAUUGCCUGGGGUAGGGGUAGGGGAUGAAUGUAAAAAUUCUGGAAGGAUCCUGCAUUCAACUUGUUUUGCAAAUCCCUUUAAGCACACACUGACUUUAAAUAAACCAGAAGCUUUAAACUCUCACUGACUUUAAGUAGAUGAUACAUUGUGGUACAGUUUAAGCAAGAAGAAUAAUGUGACUUAGAUGAUCAGGAGUCAACAACAGCUCUUGGUCCUACAUCUAAAGUUUGGUUAAUAGGUGUAAAAUUUUAUGUUUUAACGCUAAAUAUGUUAAAAUUGCUUUAACCAAUAUCUUUCUGUGUCUCAGUAUCCUGUGUAAAAUGAAGAUGAAAAUAAUUUUACCUAACAAGUUUUUUUUUGAGUGUGUGAGGAUUACAUGAGAUAAUAGAACAAAGCCUGGCACGAGUACUAAAAAUGUUAGCCACCGUCAUUGACAUCAUCAUCAUCAUCUGAGAGUAUCUGCUGUAGGGCUUAUGUACAUUUAUAUGAAAAACGUAAUCACCGCUACCAGCUAUUGGUAGCAAGACAUAAUAGUUCUGUUUGGGUUGACAGUGAAACUAUCCAUUUUCACCCACACCCCAUCCUUUUUUCAGGAUUUAUGAGAAGAGGAAGUUUGACUUUACCUUUCUCAGGAAAUGCUGAGACCUGAAAUUGUUCAUGAAGCGUUAGUGAAAGGGCUAGGUGUAGUCUGAGCUGAAGACUGUUAAAAGGGUUGGAAUGUGGAGAGUUGAAGUUGUUUAAGUUUAAGAUACAUUGUUGCUGGACUUGUAUAGAAUGCUUACACUGAGCCUAGAUCUAGCCAAGGUGUUUCUCACUUAAAUGAACACUAAGCUUCACAUAGUUCUCUCGCAAUUGUAAAUAGAGAAAUAAAGGAGAAAAAAAAAUUGUUUUGACAAACAAGUCUGGUAGCUAAACUUGAAUGGCAUGGUAGUGAGAAUACUGAUUGUAAGGCUAGGCAUUGCACUGUAUGCCAUCAAUUCCUAAAUGCUUCCGCAGUGUAGGUUACAAGUUUUCAUUAAUGAACCCACAUUUAGAAACUGCUUUUUGGAGGAGGAUUAAGAUUUUACGUGCUUUCUGUCUGAAUGCUGCCACCCACAUUUCCAUAUCAUUCACAUCCUGUUUUCCUACCUAAGAAUGUGGUCCUCAUAGGAAAGAGGCUCAGACUUCAAGGUCGGAGACAACACCCACUGGACUGAUAGUUUCCUGCUUGAUUUGAAUGUAUAAGGGUUGAUUCAGUGCUGGUCACACUAGAGUGAAUGCUCUAUCAAUGGUUCCUUUUUUGUUGGUAUUAUUCAAAUAAGCGAUACUAUUCUCCUUCUAUAGAUUAUUUACAUAGCACUUCCAGAAUUAUUAAAAAUAAAGCAAGUAGGUAGCAAAGUGGAAUUUAAGACAUUUUCCAGAGUUGAAAAAUUUUUGGAAUGAUAUAAUCUAAAGUUAUUAAGUACCCAUUUAUGUCCUUAAAUAGUACAAGUAUCAUCAUUCAUCGCUUUCUAUGCCUAUUAUGGAAUUUAGGUUUAUUUGUUUUUUAUAUUGCAGUCCAUCCUUACCUGUCAUAAAGCUUUUGGAUAAAAGAAAUAUUGUCUUUCUACUUCAUGGCUCAUUAUAACUUUGGGAUUACCUUAGCUCACACAACAUACAUUUUCCUACCCAUGGAUAUUAUUCAAAUUUCUCUUCUACUCUGUCUUUCCUGUGCAUUCAUUUCAAUCACUAUAUGUCCUAUAAAUUUUGUCUGUCCUCAGCCUUUUGCCCUCAGCUGUGACUUUAUAUAUGUUCCUUUGCUCUUCUGUAUGUCAGCAUUUGUUAACAUGUAUCCCUCUUUCUAACCUACACUUUUAUUCCUUAGUUUGAUUUAAAUUUCACCUAUUUUUUUUCUUUAGCCACACCAUAUCCAUAGAGUUAUUUUAUAUGAGGGCAACAGUGGAACUUAUAAAAACUAGGUAGUAUUCCAGGAAAUAGCAAUCUUUGCCCUGAAGUACAGUAGGCUAGGUAUUCAAGCUUCUACCUAGCGAAGAUCUACCUUUUAUGUCCUUUUGUUAUGCAAGAUAUUUUUAAGGAGGUAGGAUUCAAGAGAAUUUCCUUCUUCAUAUGAAAUUCCUGUCAGUCAAUAUGAUAUUCAGAACCGCUUACUAAGCACCUUUUUAGGCAAAGAAAAGAGCCAGUCUCAGUUUGGGUGUGUUCUGUUCUUGAUUCAUUUCCCUGGGGCCCAGCCUCUUAUAUUUGAAAUUUUAGGUUGUGAAUUAAGGCAUUUCUAUAAACUGGCCUGGGAUGAUGCAUUGCUAAGCUUCAGGUGAUGGGUUCAUACGUCACGAGCAGUGUUUUGCUGUGUCAAUAAAAUUAAGGUAGGAAAGCAAGUUGGCUUCAGUGCCAAAUAGUGGUCAGAAUAUCACGGAACGUGAGGUUGGUGUGGUAGCAGCAGCAUGCAGUUAGGCACACGUGCAUGCACAGUGGUGCUGUUCCUAUUCUGUUUGGAAGGCAGUUUGGACAUCAUUACAAUAAUAUGAAAGGCAGUAACUUGAUCAAAGUUCUAGCCAGGAAAGUUCUUAUUUCUCUAUAUUGGAGAGAUGUGUGCAGGACAAUCUAAAGAUAGAAUACUGGUAAUGAGAACAUCUUUAUUUUACGUGUUUUUCAAAGAGUAUCUGUUUUUUUUUGUUAUGUUGCAAUUUUUUGCUAUGUUAUCCAUUGAAUGAUUUAAUGGAUGCCCAAAUAAAGAUCAGACUGAUGUUCCAUAUAAAGACCUGCUGGAUUUAUAUAUACACACUUAAAAAAAUAUGUUUUUAUGGCAUAUAAUAAGUUCCAUUGAAUUAUUGAGCUUAUCAAAUAGCAGAUAAGCUUUUUCUGCCUGAGUUUGUUGGCCUGAUAUUAUCUACAAUUUUAUUUAAUAAUUCAUUCAUUCAUUCACUGGGCACCUAUUAUGUUGGGGAUUAUAUUUGGGACAGUAGGGAAUGCAAAGAUGAUUAAGACAUGGCCCCUGCCUACUCAAAUUUGUAGUCUAGUGGCUAUUGUAUAAAACAUUCUUAGAUUUGGCCUUUACUAUAAUAAUGUGUUAAUCCCUUAAUUAUUUCACAUCCAAAAGGUCUAAUUCUUAUUGUUAUGAUCAUAUAUUUAAGGUGCAUCUUCAGUGUUCUAGAUACUGAAUUUAAAGCACUGCCAAUACCUUUAAACACAUUAUAAUCCCUAAAAUCUAACAUAACAUAUUAUAAAUAUAAAGUAUUAUGGUAAACAGAAAUUUAUCAAAUACUUUUUAUAGGGUUAAUACUGGUUUUUAAUCAUAUGACUCUCUUUCCUUUCAUCUGAUUCCUUCUUUAUUUGGGAGAAGAGAUGGGAAAGGACAGUUGGCAUUUGUUGGUGAAAAUCCACUAGGAAUAGAAAAUCCAACAGAAGACUUGAUUGCAACCUGGUUUCUAGUUCAAUAAAAUGCAAGGUGAAGAGCCACAGGAGAUGAGGAUGGAGAGAUAUGCAGGUGCCUACCACACAGUACCCUAUAUAUGCCUAGCUAAGAAAUGAAGUGGGAUCCACUAAAAUGUUUUAAGUAAGGAAAUGACUCCUUAGUUCUGUUGAGAAAAAACACUUCAGCAGUUGAGCGUGGAAGAAGGAGUGUAAAGAAAAGAGGCCAGAGUCUGUGAGACCGGUCAGAGGACAGUGAAUGGCAAUCAAGAUGAAAUGAGUGCAGGGCUUGGACAGAAGUAGCAGCUCUGAAGCUGGGAAACAUCCGUCAAGAGGCACGGGUUCAAGAGAUUUGUAGGAGGUAGAAUUGACAAGAUUCGGGCCUAGAUGAAGGGGCGGGAGUUGGGUGCGGUUAAGGGAAAAAAAAGAAGUUUAGGAUGACUAUCAAGAUUUUUCCUUAAGUACCUGCGUGGUGCUAUUCAUGGAGGAAAGGAUUCUUUUGGGAGAAGCAAGUGAUUGGCCAGCCUGAGGUCAGGGAGAAUGUGAGGGUGGGAGAUAAGGAAAGAUAUAAAUAAUUUAGUUGAAUUUUAAACGUAAAUUUACUAUGCUUUGAGAAAAUGGGGUGUGAUGCUAUGACCUGAAAAAGUAAAAAUUAAGGUAAGUCUGACAUGUUGAAGCAGGCUAAGGAGACUGAGUUUCGUGGAAGAGUACUGAUUAGGGAAUUUUAAUGGAAAAUAGAAAGUCUGGAAUCAGGUAUUUAUUCUUGGAGUCAUUGUUUCCCAGAUUUUCUUUAAUGGAAGCUUUCCUCCAUUUUGUUAACCAAAAUCAAAACUGGCUUAUUCAAAUGGUUUAACCUUAUGAUGUGUCUGGGAGUCUUUGGAGAAUAGCUACUUUAAGGAGUUAUCUGUGUGAGGAGGUAGUAUGGUAAUGAAGGCAAGGUCAGUUACCAGCAGUAUGAAUUGCUAGUUAAAUAACCUUGCAUAAACCACUCAACAUUUUUGGGUUUCCAUUUUCUCACCUCUAGAAUAAGAGGGUUGAAUCAGAUGAUCUCUGAGAAGCUUUGUUACAGUAAAAACCCUGUGAUUUUAUGACCCGAUGAACAGCAUGAUUAUACCUGUAGGAUUAACAUCUUUAGAAACUUUAACAACAGACUUCCAGUUAAACUUGGUGACUGAACACAUGUUUUUCCUUGUUCCUUCCUACUAAG
rnacentral:lncRNA from 1 species